AUCCCCGCUGCCACCCCGGAAUCCGAGUCCCCCUACGCGUCUUCCUCGUGGGCGUCCCUUGCCGAGGACCUACUCGACCUGAUCGGGUGGCGGGUGCUGACCGGCGACCUGCUCGACUACGUCCGCCUCCGCGCCGCCUGCCGCCAGUGGCGCUCAUCCACCGUCUCCCCGGGCGGCCGCAGCCUCCACGACCCGCGCUUCUACCCGCGCCGGUGGAUGCUGCUGCCCGAGGGCCACGGCCUCCACCCCGGCCACACCAGGCUACACGGGUACAUCCGGUUCAUCAACCUGUCCACCGGCGCCAUCGUCCGGUCAAAUCUCCCGAUCUUCAGCGACCACUGCGUCCUCGACUCCGUCGACGGGAUCCUGGUGCUGCAGAGGGACCACGACACCGCCGUGCGCCUUCUCCACCCCUUCACCGGCGACAUCGCGGACCUCCCGCCGCUCGCGUCCCUCAGGACGAUGCUGACACCCGGACAGCAGCAGAUAUUGGACUGGUCGUUUUUCAGGACCAUAUGCGCGACCUCCUUCACUGUGAGCGCAGAUGGGGUCGUCACCGCCAUGAUUGCUCUCUUCUAUUUAGGGCGGGUAGCCUGUGCCACCUCCAUGGACCAGCAAUGGAGGCUCUCGACAUGGAGCGUAUCAAAAAACUGGAGGCCAAUGUCGUUCCAGGGCAAGAUAUACACGUUGCACUGUGACACAUUGGACAGUGAGCUUCAGAUUUCCCAGAUUGACCUGCCGGGGCUCGGGGAGAAGGAGGAUUUUGGUGAUCUGUUGUGUUAUCUACCGGAACCAAAGUUGAUCGCCACAUUUCCGGCAGGCAGACUUCACAUGCCUCACCACCUCGGAGAAUGCGACUCGGAGAUCAUAUUGAUCGGGCGUGAAGAAUGUAGGCUCUCUUUUCACAUUGGGGUUUACAGAGUAGCUGACAUUUUGGCAGACAAGAUUACACCAGUAACAAGCAUCGGAGGAAAUGAUUUGUUUGUUGAAGACAGGGUUCUGAGUGUGAGCAGUAGAGUGCACCCUACCAUUGUGGCUGACGCCAUUGUACUUCUCCAUCAGAAGGAAGUAUAUCUUGGGCAAUACCACCUUGCUAGUAGGACAUGGUUGCCAACAGCAGAUGGGGGUCUCAAAGGUGCUUCUGUACCCAGUCCUUGUAGCCUCAUUUACCAUAUUUUCACAUGUUGCUAUCGUAUUCUUUGGUGA
rnacentral:rRNA from 1 species